rnacentral:snRNA from 1 species
AGAUAAAAGCAAUUUUAGAGA